rnacentral:tRNA from 1 species
GGGUCGUUAGCUCAGUUGGUAGAGCAGUUGACUUUUAAUCAAUUGGUCCCUAAAGGCGCCUUUUUGCUAUCUG